UGCUUAUCAAGCAAGGCGUGAAACUGUAGUGGAAGCGGGAAACCCACGAGUGGUGAGACACGGGCCUGUCUGAACGCUGCACUUUUCAGACUGAGGGGUUGGUGUAAGGUGUCCGACGUCAAGAACUGAAUUGCCAUAGAAUCCUACUGUGGCAGAAAUAUUCAGUAACCCAAGGGCAUAUGGACACAGAGCUUUCCGUGGUCAAGCCUCUGAUGAGAACCCAGCCUUGACCAACACCUUGACUGCAACCUUGUGAGACCCUAAAGAGAGGACCUUGCUGAACUGUGUGCAGACUCUUGUCCUAAAGAAUAUAUGAUAUAAUGAAUGUGUGUUGUUUUAAGCU